UUUUMCCGCAUAWGACUGGGAAAAGGCAUCUUUUGGAAGUCAAAGAUUUAUUGCUGAAGGAUGGGCUCAUGUCUGAUUAGCUAGUUGGUGAGGUAACGGCUCACCAAGGCGACGAUCAGUAGCCGGUCUGAGAGGAUGAACGGCCACAUUGGGACUGAGAUACGGCCCAGACUCCUACGGGAGGCAGCAGUGGGGAAUAUUGGGCAAUGGGCGAAAGCCUGACCCAGCAAUGCCGCGUGAAGGAAGAAGGCCUUCGGGUUGUAAACUUCUUUUACCGAGGACGAACAAAUGACGGUACUCGGCGAAUAAGCUCCGGCUAACUACGUGCCAGCAGCCGCGGUAAUACGUAGGGAGCAAGCGUUAUCCGGAUUUACUGGGUGUAAAGGGCGCGUAGGCGGGAUGGCAAGUCAGAUGUGAAAUCUCAGGGCUCAACCCUGAAACUGCAUUUGAAACUGUCGUUCUUGAGUACUGGAGAGGUUGACGGAAUUCCUAGUGUAGCGGUGAAAUGCGUAGAUAUUAGGAGGAACACCAGUGGCGAAGGCGGUCAACUGGACAGAAACUGACGCUGAGGCGCGAAAGCGUGGGGAGCAAACAGGAUUAGAUACCCUGGUAGUCCACGCUGUAAACGAUGAAUACUAGGUGUGGGAGGACUGACCCCUUCCGUGCCGCAGUUAACACAAUAAGUAUUCCACCUGGGGAGUACGGCCGCAAGGUUGAAACUCAAAGGAAUUGACGGGGGCCCGCACAAGCAGUGGAUUAUGUGGUUUAAUUCGAAGCAACGCGAAGAACCUUACCAGGGUUUGACAUCCCGGUGACCGUCUUAGAGAUAAGAUUUCCCUUCGGGGCACCGGUGACAGGUGGUGCAUGGUUGUCGUCAGCUCGUGUCGUGAGAUGUUGGGUUAAGUCCCGCAACGAGCGCAACCCUUAUUGAUAGUUGCUACGCAAGAGCACUCUAUCGAGACUGCCGUUGACAAAACGGAGGAAGGUGGGGACGACGUCAAAUCAUCAUGCCCCUUAUAUCCUGGGCUACACACGUAAUACAAUGGCACUUAACAAAGGGAAGCAAAACCGCGAGGUGGAGCAAAUCCUCAAAAAGUGU
rnacentral:rRNA from 1 species